ensembl:lncRNA
AGAAGAUAGUGGACUAGAACUUCUAAGUAGACAGUGUGACUGAUUUACUGAAAAGUAAGAUACCAUCGCUAACACAUAGAAUAAGGGAUAAGCAACUUCUUUUGUUUCCUUCUUACUUGAUGCCUUUCUUUGUGUCUGGAGCUUUGGCAGGUAUGAGAGGUGAAACUGUAGAAAGCCUUUCAUCCAAAGUUCAAUAUGUAGGUUUCCUUUGUCAAUAACAGGUUCCUUAACUCUCUGACCACCUGUGUCAUGAUAUAUGAAAUCACUUUCUACGAAAUGUUGUAGUUUUCUUAUAUUUCUUCAAAUCAUUGUGUGUAAUAGUUGACUUUCCCUUCUCCAGGAUCCUGGCUUUGUGUGAGCUCCAUUUUCUUAUUCUCUUCUAGCACCUGUGUGCUAAUUAGAGGCGGAAUAAAUGACAUUGAGAACUUCCACUAAGGUACUAUAAGCUUUCAUGGUGACAUGGCAUCUGGUUUCUUUCUACAAGGAAGGUUCAGCACACAGCACAGUCUUUGAUACAUUGGACUGGUUUGAGGAUCCUACCUGGAAUAGAUCGAAGUUGAAAUAGGUACUCAAGUUGCCAUCUUUACCAAUUCAUCUGAUGGGAACAAGGUGCUCUCUCCACAUGUGAACACUAGAGAAGAGCUGGGUGUGAGGAGAGGUCGAGUGUGAUUUAUCCAGAUGUGUACACAAGCACCAGGGGUGGAUAAAGACAGAAUUUGGCCAUUAUCUCAUUGGGGCUUUACUAAAACUCUGUUUCCUCCGUGGACGUGUUAAUCA